GACGAACGCUGGCGGCGUACUUAACACAUGCAAGUCGAACGGUAAGGCCCCUUCGGGGGUCCACGAGUGGCGAACGGGUGAGUAACACGUGAGCAACCUGCCCUUGACUCUGGAAUAACAGUUGGAAACAGCUGCUAAUACUGGAUAUUCAUCGUCUCCUUCCUGGGGGGUGGUGGAAAGCUCCGGCGGUCAGGGAUGGGCUCGCGGCCUAUCAGCUUGUUGGUGAGGUAAUGGCUCACCAAGGCUUCGACGGGUAGCCGGCCUGAGAGGGCGACCGGCCACACUGGGACUGAGAUACGGCCCAGACUCCUACGGGAGGCAGCAGUGGGGAAUAUUGCACAAUGGGCGCAAGCCUGAUGCAGCAACGCCGCGUGCGGGAUGACGGCCUUCGGGUUGUAAACCGCUUUCAGUAGGGACGAAGGGUGACUGACGGUACCUACAGAAGAAGGACCGGCUAACUACGUG
rnacentral:rRNA from 1 species